rnacentral:rRNA from 1 species
UACGGGGGGGGCAAGCGUUGUUCGGAAUUACUGGGCGUAAAGGGCGCGUAGGCGGAUGUUUAAGUCGGGGGUGAAAGCCCAGGGCUCAACCCUGGAAUUGCCUUCGAUACUGGAUAUCUUGAGUUCGGGAGAGGUGAGUGGAAUGCCGAGUGUAGAGGUGAAAUUCGUAGAUAUUCGGCGGAACACCAGUGGCGAAGGCGACUCACUGGCCCGAUACUGACGCUGAGGCGCGAAAGCGUGGGGAGCAAACAGG